UUUUAUUCUUGGAGAAAUGAA
rnacentral:piRNA from 1 species